CCAACAACAAGUUUUCAUUGUAGAAAUCAGACUUUUCAUAUUGUUUAUAUUUUCUAAUUUUAGGCUACAAUGACACGCAGUGUUACUUAAUACGCAAAUGUAAUCAGACUGGUGGCUAUCGUCCAGCACACGAAAAAAAACAAUGUGGCUUUGAUCUUACAACAUUAGGUCCAUGUAAUCGUGGUAACACAUUUGGAUACCAUGAUAAUUCUCCAUGUUUGUAUCUUCGGUUGUCUAAGGUUAGUGGAAAAUAUAAUAGCAUUUUGGCCAGGCUAUAGGAUGGCUAUACUAAGCAAAGCACUCCUAUAGUCAUUGGACUGUGAUUUAGAAAUUUUGG